UACGUAGGGUGCGAGCGUUGUCCGGAAUUAUUGGGCGUAAAGGGCUCGUAGGCGGUUUGUCGCGUCGGGAGUGAAAACCCAGGGCUUAACUCUGGGCUUGCUUUCGAUACGGGCAGACUAGAGGUAUGCAGGGGAGAACGGAAUUCCUGGUGUAGCGGUGAAAUGCGCAGAUAUCAGGAGGAACACCGGUGGCGAAGGCGGGUCUCUGGGCAGUAACUGACGCUGAGGAGCGAAAGCGUGGGGAGCGAACAGG
rnacentral:rRNA from 1 species